CGUCAUGCGAUUCACUUGGUGUGGCGGAGAUCCAGGACUUUUACCUUGAGAAAAUUAGAGUGUUUAAAGCAGGCAAACGCUUGAAUACGUCAGCAUGGAAUAAUGAAAUAGGACAUCCGAUUCUAUUUUGUUGGUUUCUAGGAUCGAUGUAAUGAUUAAUAGGGAUAGUUGGGGGCAUUAGUAUUCAAUUGUCAGAGGUGAAAUUCUUGGAUUUAUUGAAGACUAACUACUGCGAAAGCAUUUGCCAAGGAUGUUUUCAUUAAUCAAGAACGAAAGUUAGGGGAUCGAAGACGAUCAGAUACCGUCGUAGUCUUAACCAUAAACUAUGCCGACUAGGGAUCGGAUGAUGCUUAUUUUUUAAUGACUCAUUCGGCACCUUACGGGAAACCAAAGUGUUUGGGUUCCGGGGGGAGUAUGGUCGCAAGGCUGAAACUUAAAGGAAUUGACGGAAGGGCACCACCAGGGGUGGAGCCUGCG
rnacentral:rRNA from 1 species